rnacentral:rRNA from 1 species
GUGCCUAAUACAUGCAAGUCGAACGCGUUGGCCCAAUUGAUUGAUGGUGCUUGCACCUGAUUGAUUUUGGUCGCCAACGAGUGGCGGACGGGUGAGUAACACGUAGGUAACCUGCCCAGAAGCGGGGGACAACAUUUGGAAACAGAUGCUAAUACCGCAUAACAGCGUUGUUCGCAUGAACAACGCUUAAAAGAUGGCUUCUCGCUAUCACUUCUGGAUGGACCUGCGGUGCAUUAGCUUGUUGGUGGGGUAACGGCCUACCAAGGCGAUGAUGCAUAGCCGAGUUGAGAGACUGAUCGGCCACAAUGGGACUGAGACACGGCCCAUACUCCUACGGGAGGCAGCAGUAGGGAAUCUUCCACAAUGGGCGCAAGCCUGAUGGAGCAACACCGCGUGAGUGAAGAAGGGUUUCGGCUCGUAAAGCUCUGUU